CGACAAGCUUUUUCUUCGAAUCAAAGCCUCAAACUCCUUCCUCCCAAGCUCUUGAGUGCGAUAAGGCUUCGAUCCAAGGUGGCGAAGCUUCCUUCCAGGGGAAGAGAAUUGCCGACCUGUGAGCGCGUCUCAAGGCUAGACAACUGGUUCAGCUGUGACGUUGGACUGGGUUGUGCUGGGCAGGCAGUAGACUGAUCAACCUUUUCUUCUUGCCUAGGCUAGUUUGCAGUGUACAUGUAAACUUUAUGGAUCCACUAGACUUGACUUUUGUGUAUUGUUUUUUAAUUUGUACUUUUUGGUUGUAUUUGGAACCCUGGCUGGUUCUGUAGUGGAGGUUGUCUCCCUCUUUAGUAAGCUGUGAUAUGAGGUUUGUUUUGAGCUUUACGAUGAC